rnacentral:rRNA from 1 species
UACAGAGACUGCAAGCGUUAUUCGGAUUCACUGGGCGUAAAGGGUGCGCAGGCGGUUGGGUGAGUCAGAUGUGAAAUCCCGAGGCUUAACCUCGGAACUGCGUCUGAAACUACUCGACUAGAGUACUGGAGAGGGUAACGGAAUUCACGGUGUAGCAGUGAAAUGCGUAGAUAUCGUGAGGAACACCAGAGGCGAAGGCGGUUACCUGGACAGUUACUGACGCUCAUGCACGAAAGCAUGGGGAGCAAAAGGG